AUGGAUGUCUUUUCACUUUUUCUCUUCUGCAGUCUGGCAUCUGCUGUCUCUGGAAACGUCAUACCAGACGAAACAGAGCAUUUUGCUGAGGAGGGUUCAAAUGUUACAUUAUCCUGUAGUUAUUCCUCUGCAGAUUAUCUAUACUGGUAUCGUCAGUAUCUCGGAUCAGCGCCUGAAUUUCUUGUGCUCAUCUUUGAUGGUGCAUCAAACACCGAAAAGUCUGAUGUAGAUCCAAGACUUUUAGUUAAACUCACAAAACGGGAACAAAAGCAUGUGGAUCUGGAGAUCUCCUCUGCUGCUGUAUCAGACUCUGCUCUGUACUACUGUGCUCUGAGGCCCACAGUCACAGGAAACACAUCAGCUCUCUACAAAAACCCUUUACCCAGUUUGGUGUCCGGGGACAGUAUUGAGCCAGAUAAAGAGAAAAAUUUUAUCACAAAAGAAACCGAAACUGUCAAGCUGAGCUGCUCGUAUAGUACAACCAGCAAUGAUGUUCGUCUUUACUGGUGCCAGUAA